GAUGAACGCUGGCGGCGUGCCUAAUACAUGCAAGUCGAGCGAACAGACGAGGAGCUUGCUCCUCUGACGUUAGCGGCGGACGGGUGAGUAACACGUGGAUAACCUACCUAUAAGACUGGGAUAACUUCGGGAAACCGGAGCUAAUACCGGAUAACAUGUUGAACCGCAUGGUUCAACAGUGAAAGACGGUCUUGCUGUCACUUAUAGAUGGAUCCGCGCCGCAUUAGCUAGUUGGUAAGGUAACGGCUUACCAAGGCAACGAUGCGUAGCCGACCUGAGAGGGUGAUCGGCCACACUGGAACUGAGACACGGUCCAGACUCCUACGGGAGGCAGCAGUAGGGAAUCUUCCGCAAUGGGCGAAAGCCUGACGGAGCAACGCCGCGUGAGUGAAGAAGGUCUUCGGAUCGUAAAACUCUGUUAUUAGGGAAGAACAAUUGUGUAAGUAACUAUGCACGUCUUGACGGUACCUAAUCAGAAAGCCACGGCUAACUACGUG
rnacentral:rRNA from 1 species